UAAGGAAUAUUGCACAAUGGGCGCAAGCCUGAUGCAGCAACGCCGCGUGCCGGAUGAAGGUCUUCGGAUCGUAAACGGCUUUUGUGAGGGACGAGCAAGGACGGUACCUCACGAAUAAGUCUCGGCUAACUACGUG
rnacentral:rRNA from 1 species